UACGGAGGAUCCAAGCGUUAUCCGGAAUUACUGGGCGUAAAGAGUUGCGUAGGUGGCAGGGAAAGCGGGUAGUGAAAUCGUGUGGCUCAACCAUACAUCCAUUAUCUGAACUCCCCAGCUAGAGAAUGAGAGAGGUCACUGGAAUUCCAAGUGUAGGAGUGAAAUCCGUAGAUAUUUGGAGGAACACCGAUGGCGUAGGCAGGUGACUGGCUCAUUUCUGACACUAAGGCACGAAAGCGUGGGUAGCAAACGGG
rnacentral:rRNA from 1 species